CGCCUGCGCGGCCCCGAGUGCGGUGAAAUUCCUGGCGGGGGGAGCGGGAGGUGGCGGCGCUGAGGGCUCGGAGCAGGAGGCGGAGGGCGGCUCGGAGCCACGGCCGCGCUGCCCUGCCCGGGACCCUGCGUGCUGUGGCGGCCGGCGCCGAGCCAGACCCCCGGCGGGCGCGGAGCGGACGGGCUGAGGGACGCUCGCCGCCACCUCUCGCAGCGCCAGGAGCCGCGCCGUCCCCGCCGCCGCUGGGACUCCCUCCCCGGGCAGAGCGGGGGAGAAUGACGGAGCUCCAGUCCGCCUUGCUACUGCGGAGACAACUAGCAGAGCUCAACAAAAAUCCAGUGGAAGGCUUUUCAGCGGGCUUAAUAGAUGACAAUGAUCUUUAUCGAUGGGAAGUCCUUAUUAUUGGUCCUCCAGAUACACUAUAUGAAGGUGGUGUUUUCAAGGCUCAUCUUACUUUUCCAAAAGACUACCCACUGAGGCCGCCAAAAAUGAAAUUCAUCACAGAAAUCUGGCAUCCGAAUGUUGACAAGAACGGUGAUGUCUGCAUUUCAAUUCUUCAUGAGCCUGGAGAAGACAAAUAUGGCUAUGAAAAACCUGAGGAACGCUGGCUUCCCAUUCACACAGUGGAAACUAUAAUGAUUAGUGUUAUUUCUAUGCUGGCAGAUCCCAAUGGUGAUUCUCCUGCUAAUGUUGAUGCAGCGAAAGAAUGGAGAGAAGACAGAAAUGGAGAAUUUAAAAGAAAAGUUGCCCGCUGUGUAAGAAAAAGCCAAGAAACUGCUUUUGAGUGACACUUAUUCAGCAGCUAGUAGCUUCACUUUUUUCAGGGUGAUCAGUUUGGAUUUAUCCAUCUUCUGUUCAGAGGUCUCCAAUUGAGAAACAUGGCACUGUUUUUUUUCCUGCACUCUACCCACCUAUUGCUGGACUUCUGUUAUUACAAGUUGGCAAACACUGGCUGGAACUGGGCUGCAAUAAAACAUGCCAGUUAUCAAUGCUGACAAGAGCCUAACAAGUGCCAACACAAGAUGAUUACGCAUUUUGAAAUCUAAUGAACUGCUUUAACCUUCAGGAAGAAUUGUAAAGAUGUGUACAUAGCACAACAUGAUCCGGAUAAUAUAUAUACUGUUCAUGUACAUCCACAAAUACACAUUGUACCAAAUAAUGCUGUCUGUAGUUAGGGAUAGAAUUGUGUAAAUUCUAAAGAUUUUAGCAGGUUUUUUCUCUCCCUAUUCAUUGUUUCCUGAGUUAAAAAACAAAAACAAACAGCAACUUGUGAAGCAUGUCAAAACCAAUUAGGAUACUAAGUUGGUUUUUUUGGUUUUGUUUUUUUUCCCCUCCCACUUUAAUUUUCCUUUGACCCACCGAGGCUUAAUUAAAAUUUCUUGCUUAUUAAAGUAUA